rnacentral:rRNA from 1 species
ACCCGAAACCAGGUGAUCUACCCAUGUCCAGGGUGAAGUUCAGGUAACACUGAAUGGAGGCCCGAACCCACGCACGUUGAAAAGUGCGGGGAUGAGGUGUGGGUAGCGGAGAAAUUCCAAUCGAACCUGGAGAUAGCUGGUUCUCCCCGAAAUAGCUUUAGGGCUAGCCUUAAGUGUAAGAGUCUUGGAGGUAGAGCACUGAUUGAACUAGGGGUCCUCAUCGGAUUACCGAAUUCAGUCAAACUCCGAAUGCCAAUGACUUAUCCUUAGGAGUCAGACUGCGAGUGAUAAGAUCCGUAGUCAAGAGGGAAACAGCCCAGAUCGCCAGCUAAGGUCCCAAAGUGUGUAUUAAGUGGAAAAGGAUGUGGAGUUGCUUAGACAACUAGGAUGUUGGCUUAGAAGCAGCCACCAUUUAAAGAGUGCGUAAUAGCUCACUAGUCGAGUGACUCUGCGCCGAAAAUGUACCGGGGCUAAAUACACCACCGAAGCUGCGAAUUGAUACCAAUGGUAUCAGUGGUAGGGGAGCGUUCUAAGUGCAGUGAAGUCAGACCGGAAGGACUGGUGGAGCGCUUAGAAGUGAGAAUGCCGGUAUGAGUAGCGAAAGACGGGUGAGAAUCCCGUCCACCGAAUGCCUAAGGUUUCCUGAGGAAGGCUCGUCCGCUCAGGGUUAGUCAGGACCUAAGCCGAGGCCGACAGGCGUAGGCGAUGGACAACAGGUUGAUAUUCCUGUACCACCUCUUUAUCGUUUGAGCAAUGGAGGGACGCAGAAGGAUAGAAGAAGCGUGCGAUUGGUUGUGCACGUCCAAGCAGUUAGGCUGAUAAGUAGGCAAAUCCGCUUAUCGUAAAGGCUGAGCUGUGAUGGGGAAGCUCCUUAUGGAGCGAAGUCUUUGAUUCCCCGCUGCCAAGAAAAGCUUCUAGCGAGAUAAAAGGUGCCUGUACCGCAAACCGACACAGGUAGGCGAGGAGAGAAUCCUAAGGUGUGCGAGAGAACUCUGGUUAAGGAACUCGGCAAAAUGACCCCGUAACUUCGGGAGAAGGGGUGCUUUCUUAACGGAAAGCCGCAGUGAAUAGGCCCAAGCGACUGUUUAGCAAAAACACAGGUCUCUGCGAAGCCGUAAGGCGAAGUAUAGGGGCUGACACCUGCCCGGUGCUGGAAGGUUAAGGAGAGGGGUUAGCGUAAGCGAAGCUCUGAACUGAAGCCCCAGUAAACGGCGGCCGUAACUAUAACGGUCCUAAGGUAGCGAAAUUCCUUGUCGGGUAAGUUCCGACCCGCACGAAAGGUGUAACGAUUUGGGCACUGUCUCAACCAGAGACUCGGUGAAAUUAUAGUACCUGUGAAGAUGCAGGUUACCCGCGACAGGACGGAAAGACCCCGUGGAGCUUUACUGUAGCCUGAUAUUGAAUUUUGGUACAGUUUGUACAGGAUAGGCGGGAGCCAUUGAAACCGGAGCGCUAGCUUCGGUGGAGGCGCUGGUGGGAUACCGCCCUGACUGUAUUGAAAUUCUAACCUACGGGUCUUAUCGACCCGGGAGACAGUGUCAGGUGGGCAGUUUGACUGGGGCGGUCGCCUCCUAAAGUGUAACGGAGGCGCCCAAAGGUUCCCUCAGAAUGGUUGGAAAUCAUUCGUAGAGUGCAAAGGCAUAAGGGAGCUUGACUGCGAGACCUACAAGUCGAGCAGGGACGAAAGUCGGGCUUAGUGAUCCGGUGGUUCCGCAUGGAAGGGCCAUCGCUCAACGGAUAAAAGCUACCCCGGGGAUAACAGGCUUAUCUCCCCCAAGAGUCCACAUCGACGGGGAGGUUUGGCACCUCGAUGUCGGCUCAUCGCAUCCUGGGGCUGUAGUCGGUCCCAAGGGUUGGGCUGUUCGCCCAUUAAAGCGGUACGCGAGCUGGGUUCAGAACGUCGUGAGACAGUUCGGUCCCUAUCCGUCGUGGGCGUAGGAAAUUUGAGAGGAGCUGUCCUUAGUACGAGAGGACCGGGAUGGACGCACCGCUGGUGUACCAGUUGUUCUGCCAAGGGCAUAGCUGGGUAGCUAUGUGCGGAAGGGAUAAGUGCUGAAAGCAUCUAAGCAUGAAGCCCCCCUCAAGAUGAGAUUUCCCAUAGCGUAAGCUAGUAAGAUCCCUGAAAGAUGAUCAGGUUGAUAGGUUCGAGGUGGAAGCAUGGUGACAUGUGGAGCUGACGAAUACUAAUAGAUCGAGGACUUAACCAUAUAAUAUGUA